rnacentral:rRNA from 1 species
UACGGAGGGAGCUAGCGUUGUUCGGAAUUACUGGGCGUAAAGCGCACGUAGGCGGCUUUGUAAGUUAGAGGUGAAAGCCCGGGGCUCAACCCCGGAAUUGCCUUUAAGACUGCAUCGCUUGAAUCCGGGAGAGGUGAGUGGAACUGCGAGUGUAGAGGUGAAAUUCGUAGAUAUUCGCAAGAACACCAGUGGCGAAGGCGGCUCACUGGCCCGAUACUGACGCUGAGGCACGAAAGCGUGGGGGGCAAACGGG